AGCCAGGGCCAUGACGCCAGGG
rnacentral:misc_RNA from 1 species